CAGAGUGCCAGCUCUCUACCAAGAGAAGUGUGCCAGCAAGUCUCCUGUGACCAAGCUCUAUGCCAUUUGAGAAAAAAUGCUGGGGAUUAAACCAAAGGACUGGUGCAUGCCAGAUGUUAAGUGAAGCUUCAUAUACACAAUGAACUAUGAGACAGAAAAUUAUAUUGG